rnacentral:lncRNA from 1 species
CUGGUACUGGUUAUCACUGCACUUUAUUAAAUGGCAUCCCCAUUUCAAUUGAGAGUGAAGAGGUUCUUGGAUAAAGAACUUUAAAAAUCAGCCUAGAAGAUGGACUUUUGGCAAGCCAUAAUAGACUGCUCCUUUCCCAGGUAGAAACUCCCCAGAAUGAAAGUACAUGUACUCCAAACUGAACACACACUUGGGAGGGAUAGAGGAAUCCACUGGGCAACUAUAUCCCUGUUUGAGCACAGAGAAACUCCAAGAAAUGCAGACAGGGAUGGCAGCAGCCAGAGGCAUACCAUUUUUAGUUAUCCUCUACCUCUCCAGUCCAAGGAAGAACUGGUUGUUUCUUAUUGAUGACCUCCAUCUCACAGUUUCCCAGGCUGGUGCUAUGGAUACUUCAGUGAGUAACAAGGACUUAAAGGAACAAGGUCCAGAGAAGUUAAGCAACUUACCAUCAGCACCAAAGACUUCAUGCUUGCCACCAUAG